AAGUCGAGAAUAUUCAUAGCGCUUUUAACUUUCGAACGCAUGUGACCAAAACCGUUGACACUUCGUUUUCAUCGUCGUCCUCGUCGUCACCUUUGCUGCGUCGUCUUGUGCAGAGGCUUCUUUUAUCCCAGCUUUGACCACAGGUGCUUCGACCGAUUGUGAUAAUUACGAGAGAGCUCUAAGUUAAGAAUUGAUAUAGCAUCGUAAUAUUACUAACGGAAUAAAAAAGGUUCGAUAAGAUUGCAAUCUCGAUUAUUAUUGAAAUUUAAGAAGAAAAGCGCUAAACGAGUAUCCGUCAUGCCUGUUGCUAGAAUAAAGGAAAUCAUAAGGAAAUUUUUAAGCUCAAUAUUCUCACUAAUGAUUAUUAUGAUCUUUAUCUCAUGCAUACCAAUUUGCGUACAUAACCUAACUCAUAAUAAUAAAUAUACUAAUUUCAAUGAAACAAAUAACAAAACCAAUAACAUAUCGACUCAUAAUGAGGAUAACAUGAAAAAAGAAGUAUCAAAUAAUUUAUCGCCUGAGGUUUUAAAAGGAAUCAUAUACUUUUACAAUUUUUUCCUAUCCUUCUUACUUUUAUAUUAUAUUUGGAGGAAGUUCGGUAGUAAGUUUGCAAGUUGUACACUAUCUUUCCGAAAUUUGUACAACUGGUUGUUUCGCCGCAAUCAAGAUAAUGAACAAGCUGUCAAUUAUACAUCGGGACAAUAGAAUUACUUGGAUUGGAAAAAUACUUCAAUAUAAUACUUGUCACGUGAGGCUAAACUUUAAUUCGGAAAGUUAACAUUGAUGUUUUGCGCAUUAGUGCAAAGAGUCACAUAUCUGUAAUAAAUGAUAAAGUUUUUUAACGUUUCUUACGUUAAAUCCUUAUUCUCAACUCCAAAUCAUUUAGACAACACAUAUGUUCUUAUACAUGAUUAGUUUUUAUAUAUUUUU